GACGAACGCUGGCGGCGUGCCUAAUACAUGCAAGUCGAACGAGAGCGACCGGUGCUUGCACUGGUCAAUCUAGUGGCGAACGGGUGAGUAACACGUGGGUAACCUGCCCAUCAGAGGGGGAUAACAUUCGGAAACGGAUGCUAAAACCGCAUAGGUCUUCGAACCGCAUGGUUUGAAGAGGAAAAGAGGCGCAAGCUUCUGCUGAUGGAUGGACCCGCGGUGCAUUAGCUAGUUGGUGAGGUAACGGCUCACCAAGGCCGUGAUGCAUAGCCGACCUGAGAGGGUGAUCGGCCACAUUGGGACUGAGACACGGCCCAAACUCCUACGGGAGGCAGCAGUAGGGAAUCUUCCGCAAUGGACGCAAGUCUGACGGAGCAACGCCGCGUGAGUGAAGAAGGUUUUCGGGAUCGUAAAACUAUGUUGUUAGAGAAGAACAAGUGCUAGAGUAACUGUUAGCGCCUUGACGGUAUCUAACCAGAAAGCCACGGCUAACUACGUGCCAGCAGCCGCGGUAAUACGUAGGUGGCAAGCGUUGUCCGGAUUUAUUGGGGCGUAAAGCGAGCGCAGGGGUUCCUUUAAGUCUGAUGUGAAAGCCCCCGGCUCAACCGGGGAGGGUCAUUGGGAAACUGGGGAACUUGAGUGCAGAAGAGGAGAGUGGAAUUCCAUGUGUAGCGGUGAAAUGCGUAGAUAUAUGGAGGAACACCAGUGGCGAAGGCGACUCUCUGGUCUGUACUGACGCUGAGGCUCGAAAGCGUGGUAGCAAACAG
rnacentral:rRNA from 1 species